rnacentral:lncRNA from 1 species
CUCUUUGUAUUGUCUAUUAGGCAAAAAUUAUAUUAAUAGUAGUACUCCAUAUUAAAUCCUAAAGUUUAAUUUUGAACUCACAUUUAUCUCUUCUUCUCACGUCAACAAUGGGUUAUCGGCAGAAGAGUCAAACACAAAGGAACAAGAAUAAAAUAGCAAAUUAAAUUUAAACCAUUCAAGACAUAGAACAUCACAAAGAGGCAUAAAUCAGAAAACAAAUUAAACCUUAAUUUUAUUCCCAAAGUACAGAGUGAGAUAGAAAGGAUAAUGGAACUUAAUAUUUAAUUUGAAACUCAAACGCUUGGACUACUUUGAGACUCAUAAGCAACAAGAUCGCGAACAAGACCUCAAUGGAAAACCUCUCCAGAAACCUCGGACUAAAGCCUGUGUGCUAAUGGUGUUUUGAGAUGAUUUUGAGCAACAAUUGCUGCCUAUGAAGAUCAGUACCGCAUGGGAGAAGUGCACAAGGACAUUGGAGUGGCCCUUUGUUUUCGUCCCUUUUUCCAAAUCUCUCAUUCUCUCUGUGUUAACUGCCGUAUUUUUUUGAAUUGGAGGAAGGUGAUCGCCCGCAUGAACUUAGGGGGGCUUCUUUUUGUUCCAUUUUUUCCUGAUUUGGGAACCAAAGAAGAUCGAAAAAUGAUGGUCCAUCUUUUUUCAUUUUUCUAUCUAUAUUUCAUGUGUGUUGCGGCUGAUUUCAGGUCACAAGGGUUCCUUUUGCCUGUAUUCUUUUUUUUUAAUUCACCAGAUGAAGAAGAUCGUUUGGGAUGGGGUCUUCAUUUUUUGGAAACGACGGGUGAUGUUUAGGGGGUCUAGUGUCUGAUUUUUUUUAGGUCGUAGAGUCUAGGGUCUUGUUUGUUUUAUAGGAUUUUUUUAGGUUAGGGGGUAUGGACUUAGGACUUAUGGGCUAUGUCCGAAAAUUAGGCUUAAAAAUGGGUUGUUUGAAUCCAAAUUUUAUUCUUUCCCUGUGAAUGAGACUAAAAAUACGAUCUCAUUUAUUAAUUAAUCCUACUUAAGUAAAAUAACUAUUAAAAUAAGAUUGAAUGUUAAAACAAAACUAUUUUUGGUAUUUUUCAAGAUUAAAAAUGACUACAAAACAUUAAUGAAACUAUUUUUUUGUAAUUUUUAUUUUCUUGUAAUAAAAUAAAGUAAAAGAGUCAAAAUUAGUUGAAAUAGCGAUAUUAGGCCUAAAUUAAAUAUUUACAUGCUAAAAUAUAAAAAAUCUUGGGGAGGGUCAAAAAUCACAUGUCUACAGCUGCCUCUCUUUGAUUGGAAACGCGAAGAGUUUUCAGAUAAAGAACGACUAGACGGGGUUUUUUGACCCGACCCUUAUUUAAAGAGACCAAAAACUAAGAGGAAGGAGAAUGUGACCGAGCCCUAGUAUCUGAGCUGUCUACAUAUCCCUGGCUAUAAAGAGAUCAGGCCAUGUGUAGUUCAAAAGUGAGUGAGAUGAUGGAGUAUACCGAGUUAGAGAGUCUGUCGAGGUUCCGGCCCGCGGUCCUGUUAUUACAUCAAAAAUCAAAAAAUAAAAAAGACUAGAUAAGCCUAUCAACUAUGAGUUACAAGAUUCCUAUCUAUAAGUCUUCUAAAGAUUGAUAUUGAGUCUUGAAUGGCUCUUCAUAGACUCUAGAUUUGAACCUUGGCACUUGUUAGCUGCAAAUGCUAGCUCGCUCUUCUUCAGCUUUUCGGAUCAACAUCGGACAUGUGGUGCUUGUGACUUCAACCACGUCUUGAGCAGUUCACAUCUUUCUCUGCUUCUGUAUUUUGGAUUCACUUCUCUUUUUUUCCUCUUUUUUUUAUUUUGGAUUGAGACUACUUGUGUUGGUCAUCUCGGAUUGUUGACCCGCAUUCUUGCCGCGAGCUUCUUGUGUUGCUGACUUGAAUUGUAUUCUGAAGUGAAUUCCCUUAUUUUUCAGGUGGGUGCCUGAUUGCCAAACUUGAACUGUCUUCCUUCGAAACUUCAACUGUUUCCCUUGUUCUCCAGGUGGGCGCCCGAUUGCUGAAACUCGAACUGCUUUCCUUGAAACUUGAGCUAUUUUCCCUUGUUCUCCAGGUGGGCGCCUGACUACUGAAACUUGAACUACUUUUCCCUAAAACUUGAGCUGCUUUCCCUUGUUCUCCAGGUGGGCACCUGAUUGCUGAACUUGAACUAUCUUCCUUCGAAACUUGAGCUGUUUUCCCUUGUUCUCUAGGUGAGCGCCUAACUGCUGAAACUCGAACUGCUUUUCCCUGAAACUUGAGCUGCUUUCCUUUGAAACUUGAGCUGUUUUCCCUUGUUACCCAGGUGGGCACCUGACUGCUGAAACUCGAACUGCUUCUCCCUGAAACUUGAGCUGCUUUUCCUUGUUCUCCAAGUGGGCGCCUGAUUGCUGAACUUGAACUGUCUUCCUUCGAAACUACUUUCCCUUAAAACUUGAACUGUUUUCCUUUGUCUCCAGGUGGGCGCCUGAUUGCUGAACUUGAAUUGUCUUCCUUUGAAACUGCUUUCCCUUGAAACUUGAACUGUCUCCCCUUGUUCUCCAUGUGGGCGCCUGAUUGCUGAUCUUGACCUGUCUUUCCCUGAAACUUGAACUGCUUUCCCUUGUUCUCUAGGUGGGCGCCUGAUUGCUGAACUUGACCUGCUUUUCGUUGAAACUCGAAUCAUUUUCCCUUAUUUUCCAGGUGGGCGCAUGACUGCUGGACUUGACCCAUCUCCUCUUGUUACUUGAAACUAUUUUCCCUUGAAGCUUGAACCAUUUUCCCUUUUUAUCCAGGUGGGCACCUGAUUGCUGAGCUUGACCCGCUUUCCUUUGAACUUGUGCCGUCUUCCCUUGUUCUCCAGGUGGGCGCCUGAUUGCAACAAAACAAAAGAAAUUUUUUUGCCUCAGUUUGAUAUUGGGAACAUCUGUGAGUGUUAACCAAUUCUUGUUAUCAAAAUAAGUUCUAAGCUAAAUUCCCUUAUCCUGAAAAUUUUUAAACCUAGUCUCAUCUCAAAAGUGAAAAACUUAAAUUCUAAAUUAUACUUCCCAAAAGUAAACUCUCGUCAGACCUUGUCACUUGUGAGGGUCUCAAAAUUUACUAAAUCCCGUUAUCCAGGAGGGUACUAGAAACUUAUUGCCGAGCCUGUCUGGCACUUGCUUUCCUCAUGAAGGGUUUUCUCUGGAACAAACAAAAUUUUCUGCCCCUAUUUCUAUCAAAGAAAACUUGUGAGUUUAAACAUGGUGGUAUUUGCGGCCUUGACUUUGAGGAUGAUUGCUCCUUCACUUCCCAUGAUAACUACGAUUUCAACUCGAAAGACCUUGCCUGUUUAUUGACUGACCACUUUCUUUGUCACCCUUAUCACGAAAAAUACCUCUGAUCCGUUCAAACCCAAUACCAUUCAUCUGUUGCAUUGUGCUCAUGCAUUGACAUAUAUUGAACCUUUGCGUUUCACAUGAAUCCCAAAGCACGUCAAUUUCCACCCACUCAGUGCACAUGCUGUUCUUUCCUGACUUAAACCACUGGCCUUGGCCUUGAGGUCUAUUGCUCCUUCACUUGCCAUGAUAACUUUGAUUUCCGCUUGGAAGACCUUGCUUGUCAUUGAUUAACCACUUUCUCUAUUAACCUUAUCACAAAAGAUACCUUUGAUUCGUUCACCCAACAUCAUCGAUCUGUUGUAUUGUUCAUGAAUUGACAUAUACUAAACCUUUGUAUUUCACAUGAAUCCCAAAGCACGUUGGUUGUUAGCAACUUAGUGCGCAUGCUGUUCUUUCCUGACUUAAACCACUGGCCUUGGCCUUGAGGCCUAUUGCUCCUUUACUUGCCAUAAUAACUUUGAUUUCCACUUGGAAGACCUUGCUUGUCAUUAGUUAACCACUUUCUCUGUCAACCUUAUCACAGAAAAUACCCUUGAUCCGUUCACCCAACAUCCUCGAUUUGUUGCAUUAUUGAUGAAUUGACACUUUGUAUUUCACAUGAAUCCUAAAGCACGUUGAUUGUUACUAACUCAGUGCGCAUGCUGUUCUUUCCUGACUUAUGCCACUUUGNNNNNNNNNNNNNNNNNNNNNNNNNCUACAAAGUAGAAACUUGUCAGAUGUGGAUACCAAUUCUAAUGACCAUGACAUGCACCUUUAGAUUAAGUGGCCUAACCUGUCAAGUAAAUCUAAUGUUCAACUCUUGUUGUACCUUUUGCCAUGAAACUGGGCUUCAAUGCUUCGAUUAUCCUAUCUAAUUCACGACCCUUAUCCGACUUGUAGUGCCCGAAGGGUUUUCACCAUCAAGCCUCUCUUAUUUUGUUCUUUCUCUCAACUUACCGUCGCCUUAUGGUGCCUGUGAAAGUUUUCACUGAUAAGACUCUCUCAUUUUUUUUCUUCUUCUUCCUCCGAUUCUGUUGAUGACAAGGCAUUGACCGUAGUAAAAACAUCAUAUGCUCCUGGCAUGUCUAAACUCAACACUCUCAAAGAUUAUCUAGGAGGUCUUUUUUGGACUGUGAUGUGGCUUUUGGAUAGGGUUAGAAAGAAAGGAUAUCAUAAAGGCUUAAAAUAACUAAGUAAACGGGGUUAAUUUAUUUAUAACUUUUGGAAUCCAUUCUAAAACUUUGACCCAAUUUCUAAAACAAGGGAAUUUGAUUCUCUUUUUCCUUUUUCUUUUUACUAAGAAAGACUGCCCCACUCUCGACUUCGUGGGAUUAUGAAAUAUUUUAUUUGGUAUGACCGAACCGUAAGGCUGCCUACGUAUCUUGUGGUGACAAGAAGCAGGUCAAACGUAGUUCACAUAGAUGCUUCUUGUUUUUUUUUUCAUAGGCUACCCCCACUUUUCUUUUCUUUUUUUUCAAUCCGCUAGACAAGCGCCUAGGGCUAAUUUUUUAUUAAAAAUAGAAAGGUAAAUACAAUAAUUAGAAAAUUGUCAUUGUCUUCCUUCAAUGAAAGGAAAUAGACUUUGCACUCUAAUGUAACGUACUAUCAAAAUUGAGCAUAAUACCAAAUUGAUAUCACAUUAUACCUACUAAAACUUUGUAGUUGUCAAAACAGCCCAAGUGAGUCCAUGUCGACGUUGUAUCCCAAGUCCAAAGCGUCCAAGUUCUAGAGUUAAAUUUGAUUUGCGUAAAUAGCCCCUUUUCAGCAACUUCACGUAGACUCCACCAAUUUGGCAGCUCGGUACUGUAGCAUACGACACUGUAGCAUACAACACUGUAGCCUAUGGUACUGUAGCAUACGACACUGUAGCAUACGGUUACUGUAGCCAGCUGGUACUGUAGCACGUGAUCAUGUGAUGUCCCCUUGAGAUUCCCACACUAUUGAGGGGGCCAAGGUCCUUGGCAUUUGCACCCAAAGUAAUGGACAUGCCUACAAUGUGCUUGUCUGCAUUAUCAACUUCAUUGUUUGGUAUUUGAACCCAUGCUUCACAUGCUUUUGCUCCUUUUGAUACAUGAGUUUGUAUUUCUCAAAAAUCAUGAUUGCCUAGAUCAAUGUCUUGCCUAUCCCAAUUUAAAACCAGCAUCAUGCGAACGAAUUGCAUUGGCCAGUACAUUUUGCAUUUGUUUAAUGUAUCCAUAGUCCAUAAGGAAUCUAGUUUUAUUGUCUCAAGGCGCCUCUCUACAUUGUGAAGCAUAUGCCUUGGUCUGUGCACCCACGCCUCUAUGCGUUACUAUUUUCCUUUUUCUUUUUUCUUUUUUUCUUUUUUUUUUCUUUUUCCUUCUUUUUUUUUCUUUAUCCCUACUUUCUCUUCUUUUUUUUUGAAUAUUUCUUUUGGAAUGAACUUUCUAAAAUAAACCUAUAUGGAUAAUUUUUUUGUAUGACUCUAACUUGAUUCCAAAAGAGGGGAGGUCAAAGAAAUCAGUACAGGCUCAAAAGGGGAUCGAAGGGUAUAAGUGUUUGGGUAGCUGAAAGAGGGCCUCCCAAUCCUUGAAAAUGCCAAAUACAAAACAUGCAACCUUAAAAAAUAAAAAUUGAAGAUCAUGCAUAACACUACUUUUGCAGCAUCGACAUUGGUACCACAGAUAUGCCUUCCACUUUUCUUUAGUGCCUUGUCAAAUACAUAGCUCUUCUUGGGUGAUUUAUUCUUCAAAAUGGAUGUGCUCUGUCAAUUCGGAGCAAAACCCCUUGGAUUUAUCUUGUUACCUGAGGUACACUUGAACUCAAAACUACUCGCUUCAAAUUGUCUAGGAUGCACUCUCUUGUAACAGAUUCUUGUCGUCCUAUUAACGUCCCAAAUUAUCUGCCCCAGUUUUACAUGGUUUGGGCUUCAAAUGAUCUCAAAAUGUCCAAAUCUGUACUUAUUGCCCUCAGGUGUCCCUAUCACCUUCAAAAUUAUUUCAUUGCUUCAUGAUGAAACUAAAUUUUAAGACCAGGCCUAGAAUUAUGCGUGCAUGUCAUGUCACUAGAGUCUGCAUGAAAAGAACUAUAAAAGGAGAAGAGUACUAAACAAAAAAUGACUAGAAAUAACAGAAGCAGAAAAUUGCAUUAGAUAGAUGGUGAAAGGGUUUGAACAACAAGACAAAUAACUGGGGUACAAACCUGGAACAAACCUAGGUAACACUAAGUGAGUUACUACGACUAAAGGAACUAGGCAAAAUAAAAGGAUAGAAGGGUUUGAGUCACAAGACAAUAUCUGGAUUACAACCCUGCAAUAACCCGGUCAACAGAAAUGACAACAAAAUGAACCACCAAGACUCCUCCCUGGCUAGCCAACAAAGGAGCAUCUUUCCAAUUACCAAGCUCGGCAUCUUAGCCACUGAGUUCCACAUCAAUAUUACCAAGACCAUCUAAUUUCAAUAUCAUUAACUUCACCAUGUGGCUUAUUUACUCCUUUGACCAACCCUUCGUCAUUCCAAACCAUCCCAACAAUCUGUGCGUUGUCAUGUACCUGUAGAGGAUUAUGUGUGACACUUGGGGUAUUACUGCCUUGGAUCAUAAUUAUUCCUUCUUGAAUCAUUCUUUCUAUUUCCCUUUUAAAAGCAUAAGAAUCUUCAAUGCUAUGCCCUUGGACAUUAGAAUGGUACAUGCACCGUACAGUAGGAUCAAAUCCUUUUGCAUAUGGGUCUGGCGUAUAGCCGACGAGCGGCUCGAUCAGGCCAGAAUGUUUUAACUUUUCAAACAAGUUUGUGUAGGAUUCUUCGAUGGGCGUGAAAUUAUCUCUUUGCCUUUGUUUCCCUCCAUGCCCCAGUUUUCUAGGGUUGUUGGAUGCUCGAAAAUGCUAUGAAGGCAAAAUUGAAUUAUGCGGUGCUGGCGCUUGCCAUGAGGAAUGGCCCAGUGGUUGGACAAAUGGUCGGAUAAUACUGGGGUAGAUUAUGUGGAGCUCGAGGAUAUUCAUGGGGUCGGUAUUGAGGCUGGAAGCAUUUAGCAGGAAUGUCCACUGGAUCCUGUCGUUGGCAGGGCUCAGCAACAUCUUUUCUUUCAAUCGGAGGACUGACCCGAGCAACUUGUUCGUUCCAUCUAAACCAAAACUCCCUAAAACUUUAUUUGAGUUUUUUUUCCAUCUGAGAUAGGGAGGAGCGGUUUAAGACAAUGUCCAUAUUGCACUGAAAGUGUUGCACAAAAUCUUGCACCAUCUCAUCCCAUGUAUGUCGCUUACCGACAUCUUGACGAGUAUGCCAUUCCAAAGCUACCCCAGUUAGGCUCUCACCGAAAUACGCCAUCAGCAACUUAUCUUUCCCGCCAACACUUCUCAUUUCACUGCAAUAACCCCUCAGAUGGGCUACUGGAUUUCCACACCCAUCAUACAAAUUAAACUUUGGCAUCUUAAACCCUUUCAGCUUUCUAGAUAUCUCAUCUUGCUCCACUGUCUUAGCAGGCUUUGCAGUCUCACCGGGGGAGGGGGGGGGUCGUCAAAUGAGGAGCAUGAGAGUAUGGAUUUGAGACCUUGAAAGUGGGUUCUAGAGCAUAGUAUUGGACAUUGGGGAUUUUGAACACAGUCUCGGUAGAGGAUUGAGGAAAAGUAGCUGGAGGAGGAGCUACAAGAGCAUGAGUGGCCAAAGGUGGAGGAUGCUCCCUGAUCCAAGACUGAUACAUUUAUGCCAUCUGCUGUUUCAACAUUUGGACCUCCCAUUUCAACUCAGAUUCUGAUUCAAUAAUUCCUUUAGACGGAUCAAUAACCCCUAUGUCCAAGUUUUUGCUAGCCAUGGCUACCUUGCCCUUUGACCUUGUGUUGUAUGUAAGAGUUACCAGUUUAAGAACCACAAACCAACCACCCUUCUUCUAUAAUGAGGAUAACAAAGAGGAACAAAGUGAAGUCAUCAUGUUAGCAUUAGGGUAUUUAAUAGCUAAAAAUAUCAAAUUACGUGCAAUGCACCUAGCAACAAUUAACGGUUCAAGAAUGACUUCGAGGGUCACAAGGUCACUUGGCAUCAUCCCAAUUUGUUCAUUUGAAUCUUCUCUUUUCUUUUCUAACACAUCUUAGCUUGUUCAUUUUCUUUCCUCUUCUCUUUUUUUAAUCAUCACUCUUUUCUUUUUCUCAUUUCUCACAUCCCAUAAUUUCACCUCUUUUUUCUCUCUUUUUCUUUUUUUUUUCUCAAAAAUAAUUCGAUCGAACCCUAUGUAGGUUGCCUACAUAUCAUGACGCCACAUGAAUCAGAUCUUUGCAUAGUUCGGGAAAAUCGGGAAUAAAGUAAACAAACUAACAUUCUCUUUUUCUUCUUUUUUUUUCUUUUCUUUUUUACCUUAAUGACUAACUCUGAUAAGAAAAGAGAAAUAAAAGAAGCAAAUCCUUUUUUUUUGAAUUUUCUAGACUUAAUGUUUGACAACCUAUUCUAAACUCAAACUUAAUGAGCAUAUAUAUAUUUUCUCUUUUUUUGAAACAUAUACUCUAUGGAAAAUUAUUAAGGAUAAAACCCUACAAGCGAAGAAUAGUUUUUUGAUUCUUUUUUUUUAGGAAGGCAAUCUAAAGAAUAAACCAAAGAAAAAAUAUUUUGAAUUUUCAUUUGAUAACCAGAAGAAGUAUUUCGAAAUGAGAAAUGAACAAGAUGAAAAAAAUAUUUUUGGAUUUCAGUUUUUGAUUACCUAAGAAAGAAACUUUAAAGAUAAACAAAAGAUAAAGUAUGUUUUUUUUCUAUGUACAAUGUCCUAAAGUUUUAAUGAAAAUAAAAAUAUUUUUUUCAUUUUUCAUUAAUUUCCCAAAGAAGCACCUCAAAAGAAAAUCUUUUUGGAUUUCUGAAAUUAAUACCUUAAAGAAAAUGUUUUAAGAGGUACUAAAAGAAAAUUCUUUUUUUUUUGAAUUUUUAGUCUUAAUGUACUAAAAGGAAGUAUAAAAGCAAUUUUUUAUUUUGAGUUCUAGAUAUUAAUUUCCUAAAGGAAAAACCACCUCAAAAAUAUUUUUUCAUUUUUAGAAUUAGUAUUCUAAAGAAAAUUUCUAACGGAAAUAUAAACCGCAAAAUCUCCUUUUUGGAUUUUUGACUUAUUACACAUCUUUUUUUCAAAUACAAAAUAGAAAAUGCCAUAACAAAAGACUCAACAAACUUAAUUAGCCUAUGACAGAAUCUAAUAUCACCUCAAGGACUUGGCAUUAUUAUACAAAACUAGAAGGUAAAGGACGACAUAAAAAUAAAACAGACUCAAAACAUAACAAAAAAAAAAUUCUUAAGCAAGCUCCUGAAUGAGCGAUCUAGACUGGAUGGUCUUAAGGAGUCUGUCAUGACCAAACUCCGGUAAGUAGAUCCACACCUGUAUGAGAAAAUUAAGACAAAAUAAAGUUAAAGACCUAGAACGCUAGGUGAGAUAAUAACCCUUCCUGUGGGACACAUGCAAGACAUGAUUGAAGCUAUUUUUGCAAAAUGACUUAUUUGGCCAAAAGGUGGCUAGAAGUGCAAAAUUUGGCUAAGACUCCGCAAAGCCAAGAACCUAAGAUUCACUAGGAAGACCGUACCCUAUGUGGGUUGCUUGCGUAUCACGCCCCGAAAGACGAGAAUCAGGUAUGCAUAGUUCAGGCAUUGGAUACGGGGCGAGAAUUAAAAAACAACUAAUUUAGAGAAAAAAUAUAUUUCUGUCUUUUUUUUUUGAAAAAUGAUGAAACAUGUAAGCUCUUUUUGGAUUUUUUUUCUUUUUCUUUUUUUUUAUUUUUAUUUUUGAAAAAUGAGGGGAACGUGCAAAAUCUUUUUUUUUUUUGGAUUUUUCAUGUUUUUUCUUAACAAAAAUGUGACAGAAAACAUAAUCGGACCCUACUUGCUUUUUUUUUCUUUUUUUAUUUGCUCUCAACUAUCAUUGGUCUGCCAAAUGACCCUUUCACUCUUGAAGAAAUGCAACAUGUAGCACAUAGGAUGCACCAAGGUGGUCUGUUAUUUUGGGUACACCUGUCUUAGACAGACCAAACCCCUGUGUUGAGUGCCCUAAGUCAAAUGCACAUGAUGCAAACAAACGUUCCUACUAUGGAUCUGGAAUGAGGCUAUGUUUUUCUAGGUUUAAAACCUAGGGUUGUGUUCUAGACCUGGCUUAUCCGAGCGGACAACUCGAGCUGAAGAGGGGGCAUCGUACCGGGAGCACUGAAGUCUACCCUACAUUGUUGCUAGCCCAACCUCGUUCUAUUUGGUAUGACUUCUACAGAAAAAGCAGGCCACGCGAACGUGUGCACCAUUUCCAGAAGACUUAGGGGGUGGGGGUAAGAAGACAGUUAUAUACAAUUCAAAUAAUAUCAAAGCGGUAAAUAGAUAACAAUUAGCACAAAAGGUUCACAAAAUACAGUAAUAUCAACAAUAAAUAAAACCAAAUAAAAAUCAUAUUAACAAGUUCAAAUUCUUUAACCCUGAACCAGAGAUUCUGGGUUCUUAUCACCAACAGAGUCACCAGAGGUGUAACACCUCCUUUUUACUACCCCGGAAGGGGUAUUAAGGGAGCUUUUUCCAAUUAAAGUGACAAUCAAAACAUGAUUAUUUAUUUAAAAAUUAGAGUCGCCACUUGGGAUAAUUUAUGGUGUCCCAAGUCACCUGUUUAAAAUCCUGAAUCGAGGAAGUUUGACUCUAUUUACGGUUUGCGAACACAGAAAUCUAUGUAAGGAAAUCUGUUAACUUGGGAGAAGGUGUUAGGCAUUCCCGAGUUCUGUGGUUCUAGCAUGGUCGCUUUGAUCAUACUUGGCUUAAUCAAAUUGUCUUAUUACUCAUUUUAGAAUCUAUGUGUAUUUGCCUUUUUUAAUUAAGAAAUUAUCUUGAAACGGGUCACGCGUACGUGUACCCAUUUGUUUGGCACGUUACAAAUUAUGUCACGCGAAUGUGGCGACAAUUAACAACUCUUUAUUAUUAUUAAGAAAGUUUGGCUGAAGUUGCGCGAACACAUACUCCAAUUUUGUUUUUAGAAAUCUUAAUCAUGUCACGCGAACGUGUCCACAAUCAUAAUGAUAUAUUAAACGGGCCUAAAGCAACAACGAGCAUUUGCCAUUUUUAUAUCUAAGUCAUAAGAUUAAUACGAGGGCCAUGAAUCAUUAAAUUGUGGAUGGCACACCUCGGACUAUUAAAUCAAAAUUAGUUUAGAGGCUUAUUAAAACCAAUUUUAUUAUUAAGAAAGUUUGAUCAAAGUUGCGCGAACACAUACUCUGAAUUGGUUUUUGGAAUUGUAAUUAUGUCACGCGAACGUGUACACAAUCACGAUGAUAUAUUAAACGCGCCUAAAGCAAGCUACGAUAUUCAUUUUUUAAAAAUGUACUCGUGUCACGCGAACGUGUACACAAUUAAUAACAAUUAUUAUUAUAAACAUUGUCUCGCCCAAAGUUGCGCUUAUGACAAAUUAAAAGGAGUAAUUAUUUCCUGCAAGAUUAAAGCAAGCCCAAAAGCAACGUAUACCAAACCAACAAAAAUAAAUGCACGAAAUUGGCCUCCUAAAAUCACAUCAUUGCAACCAACAAAAGUAUACCAAACCCCAAUAUUGAAUAGUCAUAAAAGAUAGGCAGACUCAUUGAUUAGAUCAGUUAAAAACCUUUCACCUCUUUGUAUUGUCUAUUAGGCAGAAAUUACAUUAAUAGUAGUACUCCACAUUAAAUCCUAAAGUUUAAUUUUGAACUCACUUUUCUCUCUUCUUCUCACCUCAACAAUGGGUUAUCGACAGAAGAGUCAAACACAAAGGAACAAGAAUAAUAUAGCAAAUUAACUUUAAACAUUCAAGACAUAGAACAUCACAAAGAGGCAUAAAUCAGAAAACAAAUCAAACCUUAAUUUUAUUCCCAAAGUAUAGAGUGAGAUAGAAAUGAUAAUGGAGAUUAAUAUUGAAUUUGAAACUCAAACGCUUGGAUUGCUUUGAGACUCACAAGCAACAAGAUCGCGAACAAAACCUCGACGGAAAACCUCGCCAGAAACCUCGGACUAAAGCCUGUGUUCUAAUGGUGUUUUGAGAUGAUUUUGAGCAACAAUUGCUACCUAUGAAGAUCAGUACCGCAUGGGAGAAGUGCACAAGGACAUUGGAGUGGCCCUCUGUUUUUGUCCCUUUUUCCAGAUCUCUCGUUCUCUCUAUGUUAACUGCCGGAUUUUUUUGAAUUGG